GAUGAACGCUGGCGGCGUGCCUAAUACAUGCAAGUCGAGCGAACGGACGAGAAGCUUGCUUCUCUGAUGUUAGCGGCGGACGGGUGAGUAACACGUGGAUAACCUACCUAUAAGACUGGGAUAACUUCGGGAAACCGGAGCUAAUACCGGAUGAUAUUUUGAACCGCAUGGUUCAAAAGUGAAAGACGGUCUUGCUGUCACUUAUAGAUGGAUCCGCGCUGCAUUAGCUAGUUGGUAAGGUAACGGCUUACCAAGGCAACGAUGCAUAGCCGACCUGAGAGGGUGAUCGGCCACACGGGAACUGAGACACGGUCCAGACUCCUACGGGAGGCAGCAGUAGGGAAUCUUCCGCAAAGGGCGAAAGCCUGACGGAGCAACGCCGCGUGAGUGAUGAAGGUCUUCGGAUCGUAAAACUCUGUUAUCAGGGAAGAACAUAUGUGUAAGUAACUGUGCACAUCUUGACGGUACCUAAUCAGAAAGCCACGGCUAACUACGUG
rnacentral:rRNA from 1 species